GACGGGGGCCCGCACAAGCGGUGGAGCAUGUGGUUUAAUUCGAUGCAACACGAAGAACCUUACCAGAAUUUGACAUGUUACAAAUUCUUAUGAAAAUAAGAAGUGCCUUAGGGAAUGUAAACACAGGUGGUGCAUGGCUGUCGUCAGCUCGUGUCGUGAGAUGUUGGGUUAAGUCCCGCAACGAGCGCAACCCUUAUUCUUAGUUGCCAUCAUUAAGUUGGGAACUUUAAGAAGACUGCCGGUGACAAACCGGAGGAAGGUGAGGAUGACGUCAAGUCAGCAUGCCCCUUAUAUUCUGGGCUACACACGUGCUACAAUGGUCAUGACAAAGAGUCGCUAAAUUGUGAAAUCAAGCUAAUCUCAUAAACAUGAUCUCAGUUCGGAUUGCAGGCUGCAACUCGCCUACAUGAAGAUGGAAUCGCUAGUAAUCGCCGGUCAGCUAUACGGCGGUGAAUUCGUUCCCGGGCCUUGUACACACCGCCCGUCACACCAUGGGAGCUGGCUAUGCCCAAAGUUGUUACUUUAACCUUAUUUGGAGGAGGGCACCUAAGGUAGAGCUAGUGACUGGGGUGAAGUCGUAACAAGGUAGCCGUACUGGAAGGUGCGGCUGGAUCACCUCCUUAUUUAGGGAAAACUAGUACCGUGAGGGAAAGGUGAAAAGAACCCCGGGAGGGGAGUGAAAAAGAACAUGAAACCAUAGGCUUACAAGCAGUAGGAGGAUGACUAAUCGUCUGACUAUGUGCAUGUUGAAGAAUGAGCCGGCGACUUGUAGGUAGUGGCAGGUUAAGAUAGAGAAUAUCGGAGCCAUAGUGAAAGCGAGCUUGAACUAGAGCAUAAGUCAUUAUUUACAGACCCGAACCCGGAUGAUCUAGCCAUGGCCAGGGUGAAGCUUAGGUAACACUAAGUGGAGGUCCGAACCGACUGAUGUUGAAAAAUCAGCGGACGAGCUGUGGCUAGGGGUGAAAUGCCAAUCGAAUCCGGAGCUAGCUGGUUCUCCCCUUUAAAGAGUGCGUAAUAGCUCACUGGUUUAGUGAUCUUGCGCCGAAAAUGAACGGGGCUAAGUAAUUUGCCGAAGCUGUGGGAUGUUUUAUCAUCGGUAGGGGAGCGUUCUGUACUAGGUUGAAGCAUUAGCGAAAGCGAAUGUGGACAGGACAGAAGUGAGAAUGUCGGCUUGAGUAGCGAAAACAUUGGUGAGAAUCCAAUGCCCCGAAAACCUAAGGUUUCCUUUGGUAAAUCAGCCGGAUGUUGGUUACCGGUUUAAGCUUUUAAGGUAAAGAAAGAUGGAGAAAACAUCUAGAGCUAAGAAGUUAAUACAAAGCACUAAGGUGCUAAAGUGAUUGAUGUCAUACUUCCAAGAAAAUCUCGAUAUAUCUUAAAUAAUAAAUACCUGUACCUUAAACUGACACAAGUAGGUAAGUAGAGUAUACUAAGGGGCGCGAGAUAACUCUCUCUAAGGAACUCGGCAAAAUAGCCCCGUAACUUCGGAAGAAGGGGUACCCUUGUAGGGUUGCAAUAACCAGGCCCAAGCGACUGUUUAGCAAAAACACAGGUCUCCGCAAAGUCGUAAGACAACGUAUGGGGGCUGACGCCUGCCCAGUGCCGGAAGGUUAAAGAAACUGGUCAGUUGUAAAAUGAAGCUAGUGACUGAAGCCCCGGUGAACGGCGGCCGUAACUAUAACGGUCCUAAGGUAGCGAAAUUCCUUGUCGGGUAAGUUCCGACCCGCACGAAAGGCGUAACGAUUUGGGCACUGUCUCAGAGAGAGACUCGGCGAAAUAGAAUUGUCUGUGAAGAUGCGGACUACCUGCACCUGGACAGAAAGACCCUAUGAAGCUUUACUGUAGUUUGGAAUUGAAUUUGGGUUUAAUUUGCGCAGUAUAGGUGGGAGGCAAAGAAAAUAUACUUGCGGGUAUAUAAGAGCCGCUAGUGAGUGGGGCGGUCGCCUCCUAAAAGGUAACGGAGGCGCGCAAAGGUUUCCUCAGGCUGGUCGGAAAUCAGUCGUAGAGUGUAAAGGCAUAAGGAAGCUUGACUGCAAGACCCACAAGUCGAGCAGAGACGAAAGUCGGCCUUAGUGAUCCGACAGUACUGAGUGGAAAGGCUGUCGCUCAACGGAUAAAAGUUACUCUAGGGAUAACAGGCUGAUCUCCCCCAAGAGUUCACAUCGACGGGGAGGUUUGGCACCUCGAUGUCGGCUCAUCGCAUCCUGGGGCGGUAGUAUGUCCCAAGGGUUGGGCUGUUCGCCCAUGAAAGCGGUACGCGAGCUGGGUUCAGAACGUCGUGAGACAGUUCGGUCCAUAUCCGGUGUAGGCGUUAGAGUAUUGAGAGGAUUUCUCCUUAGUACGAGAGGACCAGGAGAGACGCACCUCUGGUGUGCCAGUAUUGUGCCAACUACGAGAGGACCAGGAGAGACGCACCUCUGGUGUGCCAGUAUUGUGCCAACAGUAAACGCUGGGUAGCCAAGUGCGGAGUGGAUAACCGCUGAAAGCAUCUAAGUGGGAAGCCCACCUCAAGAUGAGUACUCUCACCGUUUUAACGGGUAAGAUCACGGUAAGAUUAACCGUUUGAUAGGCGCUAAGUGUAAGUGCAGCAAUGUAUUCAGCUGAAGCGUACUAAUAGAUCGAGGACUUGACCAACU
rnacentral:rRNA from 1 species